rnacentral:ncRNA from 1 species
GAUAACUGGCUUGCAGUGGCUAAGCGUUCACAGCAACGUCGCUUUUUGAUCCUUGUCAGCUCUUCCUAUCACUGAGAGGCAGGAUUCACCAAGUGUUGGAUUGUUCACUCACUAAUAUGGAACGUGAGUUGGGCUUAGACUGUUAUGAGAUAGGUA